CAUGGACUAUCCUCAGGAAAAUGAGAUCCAGGAAGAGUGACGCCCUCCUCGAACUGAAAGAUACUCAGGCUGAUGGAGUCAGGGAUGAAGUGGUUUAUCAACAGCACAGGAUGUCUGCAGGGAACAGAACUUAUUCAGACAUGGCCCAGAUUGUCUGCCCGUGGGGACUGAGGGACCUCUGAGGGUUACAUCAGGAAGGAAGGAGAGGCUGUUUCUACAGGUGCCACAGAAAAAUCGAUGCUGAGCCUCGGAUUAUUGGAUCCCAUAGAACCGUGGAGACUUGGCAGUGAAAUUCUUCCAAAGCAUUCCAUCUGCGCAGGCAGAGGUGUUCCUGGUUUGGAAAGUAUAAAUCCCGUGGGAAGUCAACUGGAGGACAUUUUACGCGUCACUCAUCCUAUUAUGAGCCUGCUGCUCCUCCGUCUCUUGACAAGUUGGCAGCUAAAGGACAGGAGAAGCAAUAAGGCUUCCUGGCUACAUUUUCAUGGUGCCACCAACUGCGAGUUAAGCUGACAAACAUUUUGAGAGCUCGGCCCAUUUCAUUCCCAGCAGGAUGGCAGGAGUUAACUAAAACAGAAUAAACUAAAAAUUGUGCCUUCA
rnacentral:lncRNA from 1 species